CCUACGGGUGGCAGCAGUGGGGAAUAUUGCACAAUGGGGGAAACCCUGAUGCAGCGACGCCGCGUGAGUGAAGAAGUAUUUCGGUAUGUAAAGCUCCAUCAGCAGGGAAGAAAUAAAGUCCUUCGGACUUUGGACGGUACCUGACUAAGAAGCCCCGGCUAACUACGUGCCAGCAGCCGCGGUAAUACGUAGGGGGCAAGCGUUAUCCGGAUUUACUGGGUGUAAAGGGAGCGUAGACGGCAGCGCAAGUCUGGAGUGAAAUCCCAUGGCUUAACCAUGGAACUGCUUUGGAAACUGUGCAGCUGGAGUGCAGGAGAGGUAAGCGGAAUUCCUAGUGUAGCGGUGAAAUGCGUAGAUAUAUGGAGGAACACCAGUGGCGAAGGCGGUCGCCUGGCCUGUAACUGACGCUGAGGCACGAAAGCGUGGGGAGCAAAUAGGAUUAGAUACCCCAGUAGUC
rnacentral:rRNA from 1 species